UGGCUCAGGAUGAACGCUGGCGGCGUGCCUAAUACAUGCAAGUCGAGCGAACGGACGAGAAGCUUGCUUCUCUGAUGUUAGCGGCGGACGGGUGAGUAACACGUGGAUAACCUACCUAUAAGACUGGGAUAACUUCGGGAAACCGGAGCUAAUACCGGAUAAUAUUUUGAACCGCAUGGUUCAAAAGUGAAAGACGGUCUUGCUGUCACUUAUAGAUGGAUCCGCGCUGCAUUAGCUAGUUGGUAAGGUAACGGCUUACCAAGGCAACGAUGCAUAGCCGACCUGAGAGGGUGAUCGGCCACACUGGAACUGAGACACGGUCCAGACUCCUACGGGAGGCAGCAGUAGGGAAUCUUCCGCAAUGGGCGAAAGCCUGACGGAGCAACGCCGCGUGAGUGAUGAAGGUCUUCGGAUCGUAAAACUCUGUUAUUAGGGAAGAACAUAUGUGUAAGUAACUGUGCACAUCUUGACGGUACCUAAUCAGAAAGCCACGGCUAACUACGUGCCAGCAGCCGCGGUAAUACGUAGGUGGCAAGCGUUAUCCGGAAUUAUUGGGCGUAAAGCGCGCGUAGGCGGUUUUUUAAGUCUGAUGUGAAAGCCCACGGCUCAACCGUGGAGGGUCAUUGGAAACUGGAAAACUUGAGUGCAGAAGAGGAAAGUGGAAUUCCAUGUGUAGCGGUGAAAUGCGCAGAGAUAUGGAGGAACACCAGUGGCGAAGGCGACUUUCUGGUCUGUAACUGACGCUGAUGUGCGAAAGCGUGGGGAUCAAACAGGAUUAGAUACCCUGGUAGUCCACGCCGUAAACGAUGAGUGCUA
rnacentral:rRNA from 1 species